rnacentral:rRNA from 1 species
GAUGAACGCUGGCGGCAGGCUUAAUACAUGCAAGUCGAACGGUACCAUGGGCAGCAAUGCUUGAUGACGAGUGGCGCACGGGUGCGUAACGCGUAUGCAACCUACCUGUAAUUGGGACAUAACGUUGAGAAAUCGGCGCUAAUAUCUCAUGUGAAUAUGAAUGGGCAUCUAUUUAUAUUUAAAGAUUUAUUGAUUACGGAUGGGCAUGCGUAUCAUUAGCUAGUUGGUAGGGUAACGGCUUACCAAGGCGACGAUGAUUCGGGGCUCUGAGAGGAGUUUCCCCCACACUGGAACUGAGACACGGUCCAGACUCCUACGGGAGGCAGCAGUAGGGAAUAUUGGGCAAUGGAGGCAACUCUGACCCAGCCAUGCCGCGUGCAGGAAGACGGUCCUAUGGAUUGUAAACUGCUUUUAUAAUAGAGUAACCGCGGGGACGUGUCCUCGCCUGCAAGUAUAUUAUGAAUAAGCAUCGGCUAACUCCGUGCCAGCCGCCGCAGUAAUAC